rnacentral:rRNA from 1 species
CCUACGGGUGGCAGCAGUGAGGAAUAUUGGUCAAUGGGCGCGAGCCUGAACCAGCCAAGUCGCGUGAGGGAAGACGGUCCUAUGGAUUGUAAACCUCUUUUGUCGGGGAGCAAAAGACGCCACGUGUGGCGUUCCGAGAGUACCCGAAGAAAAAGCAUCGGCUAACUCCGUGCCAGCAGCCGCGGUAAUACGGAGGAUGCGAGCGUUAUCCGGCUUUAUUGGGUUUAAAGGGUGCGCAGGCGGAAGAUCAAUGCAGCGGUAAAAUUGAGAGGCUCAACCUCUUCGAGCCGUUGAAACUGGUUGUCUUGAGUGAGCGAGAGGUAUGCGGAAUGCGUGGUGUAGCGGUGAAAUGCAUAGAUAGCACGCAGAACUCCGAUUGCGAAGGCAGCAUACCGGCGCUCAACUGACGCUCAUGCACGAAAGUGUGGGUAUCGAACAGGAUUAGAUACCCCAGUAGUC